AAAAAAUUAUUGAGUGUCUGUUAUAGGGAAGCACUGGUGAUGCAUGAUAAAAUUUAUUAAGGCUUACAAUAAACUUUCCCUGCCUUGCGAAAACUUAGUCAUUUUGAGGUGAUCCUACUUUCCCAACUCUAGAAUAGUCCCCUGUAUUGAUUGAUAUCACUGGAGGGAAUCUCCUCUGUUGACCAGUUCCUCAACCUCUUCCCUCCAGAGUGCCUAGUCUGGAUAUCCUUAUGUUUAUUUCUGGUAUAUUCAAAUCUUUGGAGAAUAGUCAUGGCGUAAAUAUUUAUAGCUUACGUUCCUUUUUGUUGGCAGAAACUGUCUUUUUUUGUUGGUAGAAACUGUCGUUUUAAACAUCAUAGGUAUGGUUGUAACUAGUUAAAGAGGGUGGCAGUUAAUCAAGAAGCCCAUUUAUGCCACUGUUCUGUACUGACAGUAAGAAGGUGGAACCUGGAGAGCUGCCUCUAACCAGUAUCUCCCCUGCAUUGCUACUUCCUUAAACCACUCACGUUCACUCCCCUCCCCCGCCUUUAUCUUAAAAACUCACACUCUCUUUUUCCCCAAUCUAUAAAAUAUGGGUUUGGCUGGAAACUUAAAAGACUACCUACUUUUCCCUAAUAACCCCUGUUUGCAGGCAGAAAAUAGGACAAGGGAAUAGUAAUGGUUUGUAAUUAUGGAGCAUUUUCUGUUGUACCUAGAGUCAUAUCUUAGUAAUCUUCAGUCUUUAGACAUUUUCAUCUCAAUAUCAAAAAACAAAUUCUGUUUUGGGGUACAUAGUUGUAUCUGCAGUGUAUUUAAAAUUGGUAGGAAUAUAUUAUACAAAGGUUUUGUUUUACAGGAAGCAAAAACUGUUCCAUGUAUUUUUCCAUAAGUUCUUGGACUAAUCAUCAGGCUUUUAACAAUACCUUGUGAAAUAUGUGAAAUGUUAAUAUUUAUUUAUAUGUUGAAAAACAUAAAUGUAUGUGAAUCAGAUUUUCCAAUUUUGGGGACACUAUUGUUUGGUUCUUUUUAGAGUGUGAAAGUUGUCAGUGUUGUUCCGUUUGUAUCCUUGCUCUACAUUCACCUAAUUAGUAGAAAAGGAAUAGGCAUAAAAUUAGCACUAAAAUAUUUGUCGAAUGAGGGAACCAACGAAUUGCUAAAACUGUCAUCAAAUUAUGUUUUGAAAACUAAGGUUAUUUAGUUUUUUAUCCCCAACAUGUAUAUUUCUCAUAUCUUUGUUUGAUCUUAGGGAUUUUUUUAUAAUAUGAAAUAUAACUCCCUCCUUCCUCCCCCUCUCCCUCCCUUCCUUUCUUUCCACACUUGCAGCAUCUGUAAGUUCCUGGGCUAGGGGGUCCAAUCAGAGCUGCAGCUGGGGCCUUUGCCACAGCAGCACCGGAUCCAAGCCGCAUCUGCAGCCUGUGCUCCAAUUUGCUGUAGUGCUGGAUCCUUAAUGCACUGAGUGAGGCCGGGGAUCAAACCCGAAUCCUCAGGGACGUUAUGUCAGGUUCUUAAUCCACUGAGCCACAUCAGGAGCUCCUUUUUUUUUCUCCCCCAAUGACUGCACCUGUGGCAUAUGAAAGUUCCCAGGCCAGGGAUUGAACCCGGGUCACAGCUGUGACCUAUGCCAGCAGCUGUGGCAACACCUGAUCCUUUAACCCACUGCUGCUGAUUGAACCCAUGCCUCUCAGUGACCUGAACUGCUGUAGUCAGAUUUUUAGCCCACUGCACCACAGUGGAACCUCUUCAGCCAAGAUUUUUAUCUUAAAUAUAAUGAUAGAAAAAGAUGUUAACCUAUAUUCAUUCUAUAAAUUUCUUGGUGUACUUGAUGCUAUAAAGCUCUUCUAGUUCUUAGUAGACCGUUAAGUAUUCUUAAUACAAAGAUACAGUACAAAGUUAUUAUUUCUUCUUGGAUAUGGGAAUAGAGGGAAAAUGCUCUAAAUAUAAAUAUAAGUGAAUUUAAAGGAAGAGAUUGCUCAUUGUAAAACUGAGAAUCAUAGCCUUCCUGAGCAAUAUAGGCAGAUUGGGCAGAAAGAAAUACUUUGGUCUAGUUUGAAAAAUCCUUGUUUCUGUUUCAGACAUCCAGCUGUACCCAUAUCCUGCAUUAAUGCAUUUUAUGCAUAAAAGAUUUUUAUCCUAGAGAGCUAGAAGGUGUAAUAAGACAUUAACUUCUAUUUUUAAAUAUUCUACCUUUUGUUUCUUUAUUUUAAUCCUUUCUAAGUACCAUAUAGAGACAGGCUCUCUAAUUGUGAGAAACUUUUUACAGUGUCUGGCUGGAACACACCCAAAUUCACUUUAGUUCUAGAAUAAGCAGACUACAUGAAUUAAGAAUCAUUUCAUUUAGGGAUAAGUAGGGAACUGAUAGUUGGGGGGUAUAAUCUGAGGUGAAUGGCAGGAUCUUUCCUUUCUCCUUUCUACCUUCUAAGCAACUCAGGUGAGGCUGAGCAAGGUUGAUUUUCUCACAGGGUUGGAAGCUCUGAUGGUCUGGAGCCUCAGACUGUCUGAGGAGGGCUGGUUUGCUGGGGGGUGACCUGUGCUGUUCAGGCAGAACCUCGGUGGGGUGAAGAAAGCCUCCACAUCAGGAGGUGGCGGGCUCAGUGUGGGAGAUCAGAGCAUCUCAGAGGAGGAGGAGGAGGAGGACCGUGGAGGGUUGGGAGAGUGAUAGCUAUAACCCAUUGCAGGAGUUGGAACCCAGGUAGAAGGUACCCACACAGGAGGGCAGCCAGGCUCAGGGUAGUGGAGCCCAAGUGGAAUGUGGGGGCGGGGGCGUCCAUUCAGAAGAGUAAGCACAGGGGCAUCAGCCAGUGCAGUGUCAGAGAAGGGGAUGGUGUGGCCGCAGCCCAACAAGGAGACGGAAGGCUGAGCACAGCCGGCGAGGUACCAUGGUGGUGAGUAGUGAAAGUAACAAAGGGAGAUGGGUCACAUAUUGAGGAUCAUUUGAAUGAGUACAUUAAUAUCUUAAGGCUAAAGAGAGUCAGGUUUUUCCCUUGAAGAAGGGGAUUGCAAAUAUUGAAAGGCUCUCGGUGGUUAGAUUGGAAUUGGAGAUAGUGCUGUGAAGUCAAGGUUUUCAAUAUGUUACACCGAUGAAAAGAUAAAUGUCUGUCUGUGUGUGUGUUCAUGUCCUCCAGGUUGUUCUUUGAGAGGGCCUUGGAGAAGGAUAAACCUAUAGCAAUGAGAGUACCUUGUGUCCGGCUCUUGGCUUCUGAAUAUCUUUCUCCACUACAAGAAACUAGAGUUCCUUGGAGAAAUAGCUGAUUCCAAGACUGGGGCUGGUAAAGUAAAAGAUGAGCCUGAAACAGCUUUUUUUUUUUUUUUUGGGCCCUUAAAGGGGUACCUACUGGCCAGAUGUGGGACAAUUUGAGCAUGAAAACAAGUACUGAUGAUUGUGAAUGAUAAUCUGUGGAAUAAAAUAGGAACCCAUGAAUCUAUACUGAUACAAAUAAAUUAAUACAUUGAUAGUCAAUGAGGAAAAAUAUUUCAUAGUUUUAAAGUUAAUUGCAAAGGGAAAAUAACACUGGAAAGGCCUGGCAUUUAUCCCCUUAAUCAAGCCAUCCAUUAGCAUCACCAGAAAUGGGACUAAUUGAAGUCAUUUGCCACCUGAUACAGUGGGAUGCCAUGAGAAUGAUAUUGCAUCAUUACCAGCCAAAGAUGCAUAAUCUGAAUAAUGGGGAAAUAUCAGACAAAAUCAAAUCAGUGAUCAUUCAACAAAAUAACUGGCUCAAAACCAUCUGAAGUGUCACAGUCAUGAAAGUGAAGGAAAGACUAAGGAACUGUUGUAGAUAGAAGGAGAUGAAAGAAACAUGACAACAGCUAUAACAUCAUUCUUCAUCUAGUGCUGUUGUUUUAAGGGACAUGGUUCGAUCAAUUGAGAAAACUUGAAUGGGGUCUGAGAAUCAGGUGGUGGUGUUCUGUUAGUGUUAAUUGUCUGAUUUUGAUGGUUACAUUUUUGUUAUGUUGGAGAAUGUUUUUGUUUGUAGAAAGUACACACUAAAACAUUUGGGGGUGAGGAAAAGUAAAUGGGAAUUGCGAGAAGUAGAAACAGCAAGUAUUCAAAACCGCUAUUUGGGAGAUUUUGCUAAGAAAGGAAGCAGAGGAAUGGAGCCAGAUAAAGGCGUGGAAUAAGGGAUUUUCUUGGUUUUUGUCUUUUUUUCCCCCCACGGAUGAUAUCACAGGAUGUAUGUUUAUGAGUUAGCUUGGUGUAGGUGGCAGACAUGGCUCAGAUCCUCUCUUGCUGUGCAGGCCAGCAGCUGCAGCUCUGAUUCGACCCCUAGGCUGGGAACUUCUGUAUGCUGUAGGUGGGGCCCU
rnacentral:lncRNA from 1 species